UACGUAGGGGGCAAGCGUUAUCCGGAUUUACUGGGUGUAAAGGGAGCGUAGACGGUGAUGUAAGUCUGGAGUGAAAGGCGGGGGCCCAACCCCCGGACUGCUCUGGAAACUAUAUGACUGGAGUGCAGGAGAGGUGAGCGGAAUUCCUAGUGUAGCGGUGAAAUGCUUAGAUAUCACGAAGAACUCCGAUUGCGAAGGCAGCUCACUGGACUGCAACUGACACUGAGGCUCGAAAGUGUGGGUAUCAAACAGG
rnacentral:rRNA from 1 species